AGACCCCGCGGGCCAGCGCCGCGACCCCUUCCCGGCGCUCCUCGCGCUGUACGCGGCGCGUCCUCUGGCCGGUGACCCGGUGUGCGUGGGGUCGAGGCGCCGGGCGGAGCGGCUGCGGGCCGAAACGCCAUGCGGAGGGGCGAGCGCAGGGACGCCGGGGGUCCGCGGCCCGAGUCCCCGGUGCCUGCGGGCAAGGCCUCGCUGGAGGAGCCGCCUGACGGGCCGUCUGCCGGCCAAGCCACCGGGCCGGGCGAGGGCCGCCGCAGCACCGAGUCCGAGGUCUACGACGACGGCACCAACACCUUCUUCUGGCGAGCCCACACCUUAACCGUGCUCUUCAUCCUCACCUGUACACUUGGCUACGUGACGCUGCUGGAGGAAACACCUCAGGACACGGCCUACAACACCAAGAGGUUUAUCUCCACAGGCAGGCAGGCUAGACCUUGGGUGUAUCCUCUGCCUGAAUUCCAUGGAUUCUGACGCCAGUCUCAGAAGUGUGUGUGGAAGAGAAGCUGGUUUUAGAGCCUGUGAA
rnacentral:sRNA from 1 species